rnacentral:lncRNA from 1 species
GGGUAGAGAUAACAUAUGAGUAAACCGCAUUCCAUUUGGGAGCUAUUUCCGUCUACCAUUGUUAUUAGGUAAAAUCAAAUAAGAUGUAUUAGCCCUAUGAGUAGGGACAUAUCAACCUACGCUGGCUAUGUAGUUUUGGAACAUAAGGAUUGCUUCUAAGGAUUACACCCUCCACUGAAUAAUAAGUGAGUCCCCAUCCUAGGGUUCACUCAGUGCUGAAUCCUAC